CAGUAGCCGCGGGAAAACGAAGGGUGCAAGCGUUACUCGGAAUUACUGGGCGUAAAGCGUGCGUAGGUGGUGGUUUAAGUCCGUUGUGAAAGCCCUGGGCUCAACCUGGGAAUUGCAGUGGAUACUGGGUCACUAGAGUGUGGUAGAGGAUAGUGGAAUUUCCGGUGUAGCAGUGAAGUGCGUAGAGAUCGGAAGGAACAUCUGUGGCGAAGGCGACUAUCUGGGCCAACACUGACACUGAGGCACGAAAGCGUGGGGAGCAAACAGGAUUAGAUACCCCGGUAGUCCCUGUCUCUUAUAC
rnacentral:rRNA from 1 species